GGUUUACCAGAAGCAUUGUAAAAAUCAGGGGCAAUUUACAAAUAUGAUUUGUCUAUACCUAUUGAAAAGAUGUAUGAUCUUGUAGAGGAGAUGCGAACAAGACUUGAUGAAGUCCAUGGCUAGCACCCAGGCUUAGCCUUGGCCCCAGAAGUUGAAGAAGAAAGCUUAGAACUUUUUGUUCAUUUCAAGUGAAACCAACAGAAAUUCUCUUGAAGCCAUGGUGAAGAGCACAGGAAAAGAAUCAUUACAAUGGGGUGAGUGUGAGAACAGCUUCAUUAGCUC